ACCAGUUAUAAAAUGAAAAUACAAAUAAAGCAAAAAAGGGAUCCUCAAAGUUUAAAAUACAAAUUUAAUGUGUCUUAUUGUAGUUGCAGAAUCUUUGAAAGAUAUUAAAACGCUUUCAUAAUUAAACAACUGAAUUCUUUUUUUUUUUUAAUUUUUUUUUUUUUACUUAGGCUAUUUUUAAUCAGAUGCUCUCUUGCCAAAAUGUAGGCCCAUCUGCUUUCCUGGAAAUAUACUGUGGCCUAAUAGUGAGUCACUCUUUGAGUCAGACAGCACAAAGUCAAAAUAUCAUGCAUGAGUAAAAGGCGGCAUUGCUGCACUAACUGAAAAAAUGGUCCUGGGUUUCCCCAAUUGUUGCCAGUUGAACCCUUAUGAUUUAAAUUACUAUCACAAGUAGACUAACUAACCUUCCAAUACAUAUACUUAAUAGCACAUCUUGUAUAUAAUGACAGUAAAAGGUUGGCUUGUUUUUACUAAUUUUAUUUGAAAUAUUAUGCAUUUCAGUUUAAUUUUGCAUUUGCAUGUGUAUCUGAUUCUGCAGCUCACAAGCACCAUGCAGUUCCGUCAUGAAUCUCUAGGGGUCACAAACGCAUUGGGAAUCAAUUCCGUUUUUUUUUUUUAACAGGAACACUUGUAUAAAGUACCUCAUCCAGCAGAAAGACAAUGUGAAUCCUUGUGAGUUCUUGACAAUGUGAGUUGUAAGCAUUUUUUCCUCAGAAUACCACACAAACCUUUUAAUUUACUCAGAAUAGUAUUGACUGCUCGUUAAUAUUAUUUCAGAGAUAUUUUGGUCUAGAUGGUGUAGAGUAAGUAAUCAGUCUAUGAUAUCUGCCAGCAGGGACUAACUGAACCAUGCUAACGAGCCAAAUCGAGAGCCCUUAGCUUCCUGACAUUUCUUUGAAGGGUGUGGGUUUUGUAUAGAGGCUAGUUAGCUAACACACACACACACACACACACACACACACACACACACACAACCACACACACACACAAAGAUAUGACGACAAGUUUUAGGUAAAAACUUUAUUUUUGGUAGCAAAAACAGCACCUCAGAAAACAGGAUAAACAAUGGACAACGUCUUUCUUCUUUGCCAGAGUACAAUGAAAUGACAGUCUCUACUAAAUAGGCAAACCACAUGGACCUGCCACUAACAUGCUAGUAAUUUAGCACAAACGCAAACAUAUCCCUUCAUAGUUACUGUGGAAAUCCGUUUCUUAGCAUGUUGAGCAAUUCAGCUAAAUGGCUAGCUCAUGUUAGUGGCACGACAAGAGCAGUGAGAGUAUUUGGUCCCUCAGGAUUUUUUUGUCAGAGUGAAUGGUUUAUUGCUUACAACCUGGUUUAUGACUGCAUUCCUCUCUAGUGCUUUGGACUGGCCGCAGUCAUAAUGGUUGAGAGGGAAGGGCAGGAAUGCUUAAAAGGCGUGUGGUUUAGAGGACAGAAUAGGGGAAGGGGACUCGCUCAAUCUUGGACAACCUCAGAGGACUCAGACACAACUCUGCCAUCCUUGGUCUCGAUCAUCUUAAUCACAACGCUCUUCUUGGUCUGAGAGACGGUCUCACCGUAGCCGCUGCCAGAACUGUAGCCGCCACCAGAGCUGUAGCCGCCACCAGAGCUGUAGCCGCCACCGUAGCCGCUGGAAUAACUAGAGUAGUUGCCGUAGCCGCUGCUUGCACUUUCCAUGGGAUAACCACCAUAGCUCGCUAUCAGGACAGAAACAUGAAGAUGUAAGAUGAGGAUCUCCUGAUAUCAUAUAGUUAUAAGAAUUGUCAUGUGAAGAAAGAAUCCUGAAAAGACCAGCACAAAAUGUCCAUGAUACAAGAGCAUACUAGAACCCCAUGCUGGGCUUUUCAGUAGGGUUCUCUGUGAUAAAGAGUCAAACUUACUGCUCUGUUUUGAGAUAUUGAUGGACUUGAUUCCACUUGCCAUUCUGUUGGAAAAGAGCAAACAAGAAGUAAUGAGACUCCUGCACAGAAUGAGAAAUCUGAACCUUGUCUCAAAAAUAGAGUACUAGGUCUCACAGCAAGCAUGCAUUUCAUUGCCUCACCUGUCCUCCUCUCCCUCCAGGAGCUUCCUGUAUGUGGCGAUCUCAAUGUCCAGGGCGAGUUUGACGUUCAUCAGGUCCUGAUAUUCUCUAAUCUGGCGGGCCAUAUCCUGCUUGGCUCUCUGCAGGGCAUCUUCCAGGUCCUUAAUGCGGGCCUUGGCAUCUCUCACGGCCAGCUCGCCACGUUCCUCUGCCUCUGCGAUCUGGUUCUCCAGAUUCGCGCGCUACCGAAACAAGAAAUAUUUGUGCUCAGUUUCACUCCUAAUGUCUGUUGCCUACAAAACAAACUUUAUAUUCAAAUAUUUAGUUUGUGCAGUUGCAUACCUGUCCUUUCACGGCAUCGAUCUCGGACUGCAGUCUCUGAAUCAUGCGGUUAAGAUCAGCAAUCUCUGUCUUUGUUGAUCUAAGGUCAUCACCGUAUUUGGUUGCGGAUGUCUGCAUCUCUUCGUACUGAGGAAUAGAACAUACGAUGUGUAAGAUUUAAUAUCUCAUGCACCUCAAUAGUAAAAUUUGCUUUGAACAACCAGAUUAAGACUUUACAGUUUGG
ensembl:lncRNA